rnacentral:rRNA from 1 species
CGAACGCUGGCGGCAUGCCUACCACAUGCAAGUCGACCGAGACCUUCGGGUCUAGUGGCGCACGGGUGCGUAACGCGUGGGAACCUGCCCUUAGGUUCGGAAUAACUCCCCGAAAGGGGUGCUAAUACCGGAUAAUGUCUUCGGACCAAAGAUUUAUCGCCUUUGGCUGGGCCCGCGUUGGAUUAGCUAGUUGGUAGGGUAAAAGCCUACCAAGGCGACGAUCCAUAGCUGGUCUGAGAGGAUGAUCAGCCACACUGGGACUGAGACACGGCCCAGACUCCUACGGGAGGCAGCAGUGGGGAAUAUUGGACAAUGGGCGAAAGCCUGAUCCAGCAAUGCCGCGUGAGUGAUGAAGGCCUUAGGGUUGUAAAGCUCUUUUACCCGGGAUGAUAAUGACAGUACCGGGAGAAUAAGCUCCGGCUAACUCCGUG